AUAAAUAUGGGAUCAUACCUACAGGGAGCUUGCUUGUAAAAUAGUUGGGGACAAAUGCAACUUUUGCAACCUACCUUUGAAGACCCCAUCAGCUUAAGGUUCCACUCUUGGAGUAAAUGGAGAAAUUUAUAACUGCGCGAUAACACCGCCCUGACCUUCUCUACUCAGCGUGAGAAUUAAUUACCUGAGGCCAGUCCUAUGGAACAUUGUGAAGGCACGAUUCAAAGACGCCAGCCAACCAUCUGGCACUUGAAAGAGGCUAAGAAAGCCAGUUCCAUGGACUCUCCCCAUCAUGGCAUCGGCGGUGAGGAAGAACACUCCUAAAAGAGUGGGGGCCUGUACUGGCAGCCUAGGGCUUAUCUGCAGGAUGGAAAAGCUUCCAGGACAUAAGCCCAUCACAGGGCUUACCCAGCUGCCUUUGAGAAAUGUUUGGGGUCACAUUGGCUAAAAUUAAGUACUUUGUGGUGAACUGGAUUUGACUGGAACUAAAGGAUCGACUUCCAAGCUCACUCCUGUGGCUGUCGGCAGGAGGCUUCAGUUCCUUACCACAUAGACCUUUCCACAGCAUGAGGGCUCCAGUGUCUGCAGAUUUGACUGGAACUAGAGGAUCAACUUCCAAGCUGGAACUAGAGGAUCAACUUCCAAGCUCACUCCUAUGGGUGCUGGCAGGACGCUUCAGUUCCUCACCACAUAGACCUUUUCACAGCAUGGCUUCCUCUAAAUUCUCCUGGCCAACUCUUCAAUAGCACAGGUCCAAGACCGCCAUGACAUAGGAAUGGAUGAACAGUUGAUAUGGAUCAUGCGUGGGGGAUAGAAGGUGAACGUCGGUGAACAGGCUCGGUCAUCCCCUUCCCUGAGGUGCUUGCUUCCUUCCACUCAUGCCUUUGUGUGAUCUCGCCCCUUAAGUAUGGGCAGGGCUUCUGACUUGCUUCUGACCAACGGAACGUGGCAAAGUCAAUGGGAGGCCACUCUGUGAUGACGCUGGGUUAAAAAAGACCCUGUGUCACUAGCAGAUGUGUUCUGCUCUCUCUUCAUUUGUUGGCUUCGAAGAAGCAAACUGCCAUGGACUCAGCUGAAAGGAGUCAAAUGCCUCCAACAAUCACAUAAGCAGGGAAGUGGACACUUCCCUGGUGGAGCCUCUGGUGAGAACCCAGCCCUGGCUGACGCAUUAAUUGCAGCCUGUGAGACCUUUAGCAGAAGCCCUCCUGAUCCACAGAAACUGUGAGAUAAUAAGCCACUAAGUUUGUUGUAAUUUGUUAUGGGGCAUAGAUAACUAGUACACGCAGUCCUACUGAGAUUUUCUCUCUCCCUCUUUUUUUUUUUCUAUGAAUAAACUCCUUUCUAUUUUUGA